AUGCAGCUGAUGAGCCCCAAAUAGGGCGAAACACGCGUCAAACUGGAU
rnacentral:hammerhead_ribozyme from 1 species